rnacentral:rRNA from 1 species
GGAGUUAGCCGGUGCUUCUUCUGUGAGUGAUGUCCUUCCUGCCGGCUAUUAACCCGCAGGCCUUCUUCCUCACUGAAAGUGCUUUACAACCCGAAGGCCUUCUUCACACACGCGGCAUGGCUGGAUCAGGGUUGCCCCCAUUGUCCAAUAUUCCCCACUGCUGCCUCCCGUAGGAGUCUGGGCCGUGUCUCAGUCCCAGUGUGGCUGAUCAUCCUCUCAGACCAGCUACGGAUCGUCGCCUUGGUGAGCCGUUACCUCACCAACCAGCUAAUCCGACAUAGGCUCAUCCGAUAGCGCGAGGCCCGAAGGUCCCCCGCUUUCCCCCGUAGGGCGUAUGCGGUAUUAGCCUGGGUUUCCCCAGGUUAUCCCCCACUACCGGGCAGAUUCCUAUGCAUUACUCACCCGUCCGCCGCUCGCCACCAGGGAGCAAGCUCCCCGUGCUGCCGCUCGACUUGCAUGUGUUAGGCCUGCCGCCACGCGUCAUCUGAGCCAUGAUACAACUACUGA